AGAGUUUGAUCCUGGCUCAGAACGAACGCUGGCGGCGUGCCUAACACAUGCAAGUCGAACGUGAAAGUCCUUCGGGAUGAGUAAAGUGGCGCACGGGUGAGUAAUGCGUAGAUAAUCUGCCUGGUGAUCUGGGAUAACAUCUCGAAAGGGGUGCUAAUACCGGAUAAGCCCACGGAGUCUUCGGACUUUGCGGGAAAAGGGGGGGACCUUCGGGCCUUCUGUCACCAGAUGAGUCUACGUACCAUUAGCUAGUUGGUGGGGUAAGAGCCCACCAAGGCUACGAUGGUUAGCUGGUCUGAGAGGAUGAUCAGCCACACUGGAACUGAGACACGGUCCAGACUCCUACGGGAGGCAGCAGUGGGGAAUUUUGCGCAAUGGGGGAAACCCUG
rnacentral:rRNA from 1 species